UACGAACCGUCCAAACGUUAUUCGGAUUCAUUGGGCUUAAAGGGUACGUAGGCGGCGCUUCAAGUCGGGUGUGAAAUCCCUCGGCUCAACCGAGGAACUGCGCCCGAUACUGGAGUGCUUGAGGGAGACAGAGGUAAGCGGAACUGAUGGUGGAGCGGUGAAAUGCGUUGAUAUCAUCAGGAACACCAGUGGCGAAAGCGGCUUACUGGGUCUCUUC
rnacentral:rRNA from 1 species